GAAGAGGAUUCCAUCAAGUCAGGCAAAAUUAAUUAGCUUCAAUCUCAACGCUGAGCUGCCAGGUCAAUUUCACAGCGUAAUCACUUGGAGCUCCUGCAUUAACGGGACAAUGUUGCCGCAUAAGCAUUCAAUAUCCCAUUUUUGGCCGUGCAUGGGCAAGCCUAAGAAUUAGGUACGAGCCCAGCUGCCCUCCUUGCUUUGGAUCUGGGGAUAAUCAAAUUUUGUAGAAUGUUUCUCAUAGAGAAACACAAUAGCUGCUGUCCGUAUAUUUUCCUCCUCCCACACUCACCUCCCCAGCUCUGGGAAGAAGUUGAACUCCUCCGUCUGGGCCUGUGGGCAAGGCUGGGCCUCAGUUUCCUCUUCUGUGAGAUGGACAUCACCUCAUUCGCAGGGCUGCUGUGAGGGUUAAAGAAAAUAAGAUGUGUCACUCACAGAGCCUGGCACGGAGCAGGACUCCAACGAGGCAAGUUCACAGCCUCAAAUGGCACACCCUUCGUGGGUUUGCCAGGUCCUUCAUGGUGCCAGCAUCCGGCACUGUGUGUGCUGAGGAUGGAGAGUUGACUGCCCCUCCCAGAGAGGUUCAGUGUUGGGCACGUCUCAACCAUCGUAUCAUGCACUCGCCACCUCAAACAGGAGCAGAGCCCUCACGCCCUCCAGGGAUGGGCUUAUGGUUUAUGAAAACGGCUAAAAACUAGGUUCUGUGAGCUCUCUGCCUGCACAAGGGUCAGGGGUCAGAGGUGAGAGCCAACCAGGGUGUGUAACAGACUGCCCACCCAGGAGUUCUUACUGAACUCUUCACCCCUCUGUCCUACAGGACCAACAUCAGGUUCCAAAAGCUUCCAUGGGGCAAGCAAGAGAACGUGCCAGCCACCCAAGACGUGGCCCUGCAGACAGGCCUGGACACAGCGUCCCCGGCAGAUGGUGGACCAUGCUGCAGGACCCGGAUGCUUCCAUUCGCUCACCACGAAGAGAGGCGAGCGGCUUCCAGACCUGCGCGCCCAUCAGGCACAGCUCGAAUGAAGCCAGGUCAGGACAGGAGCUGACAGCGGCCACCUCCCAUCCUCCCAUCUCCCACCCGCUCAGAGGCGUCCCUGCCCUGGGGAGCUGCCUUCCGGACAGCUGCAGAGAGAAGGCCUUCACAACGAUGGCUCAAAGAUGCUUCCUCCAGGAACAAAGGUAGCUGGGAAAGAAUGCAAGACAAAAAUCUUCUUUUCAUUGCAGCAUUUUUUUUCUUCUCCUGUAAAUUGUAUCUGAAAGGUCACUCUUCGCGGUCGACGGCUUUCUGAGGAACACACUUUCUUUCUGCUCCUCAGUCAUGGGGUCUGCUUGUCACAAGACAGAGAGGCUGACGCGGUGGCUGCUCCUAUAAAAUCUUAAAUUGCAACCACGUGAAUUGCUAUAAUACAACUUCCUGGGGCUCUGAGGUUCUGGCCUUUUUAGAAAUUGAAUUUAUUGGCCGCUCUGCUUUCAGAUGCCCCUUGCCGAUUCUGGCUUUUGAAAGGGGCCAUAAACCCUGAGUGCAAGGCUGGUUUUCUGCAGCCUCCCGAGAGGCGGUGAUCCUUGUUCAUCCAUCCAUAUGCUCAUGGUGUAUCCACCCACCCAUCCAUCCAUCCACUCGGACGCUCCUCUGUUCCCACAACAGCGAUGGGCUGAGGGCCAGGCUCUGUCCUGGAAAGUAGGGAGACAGCAGUAGAAGCACAGACGAGGUCCCCGGUCCCGUGGAACAGGCAUCUGGGGCGGGUAGAGACAAGUAAACCAGCAUAGCAGGAUAAUUUUUCAGGGAUGUUGCUACAACCUGGUUUAGAAAUAAGCGUCUUAUUCCCCCAAAGAGAUAAGGCUGGGUCUUCCUUUACCUGCUGGGUGAGGACAGGAAGAAGCUUUUGUUUUCAAAACUCUGGGCAAGCGGUACCACGCUGCCCACUUCAGGCCGCCCUUCAGCCCCUGUCCUCAGCCUAGCAAGGCUUUUAAAGACACAGCAUCUGGGCAGGCAGGAGGCUGGCGUCCCAUGUUGACGUUAACUGCUCCUGCUCUGCAGGUAGCUGGGGAGGUGCCUGUUGUCUGUGCCCAGUGAAGAGGAACUGGGCUGGCAGUCGCUUCAAUCUUGGCUGCAGGUUAGAAUCACUUGGAACUUUCGAAAGUCCCCAUGCCCAGACUACAUCCAGGUGAUUAAACUGGGAAAUCUGAGGUGAGAGCCGGUGGUCAGUAGUUUUUAAAUCUCUGCAGGUGAAUCCGAUGAGAACAGCUGAUCUGAGUGCUUUGCGGUGUUGAAUGUGGGGGACUGGAGGAGUGAGGCCCCAGCCCCUCGGGAUCAGCUGCAGGAGGUGACGGUUUGGGUGUCUGUCCCUGCUGGGAACCAGGACCUCAUCGCAGAGGCCUCCCCAGUGAAGCAGGGACAUGCUGGUGACUCAGCAAGGGAAAGGGCAGGGUGGCCACCAUGGAUCGUGACGGCCUCAUGGCGUUUCUGUAAGGACAGCCCAGAAGUGGCUGGACCUGGCUUCCUCAUGAGCUGAAUCUCAGAGCCGGCCUUUGUGUUAUUGAGAAAAGUCAGGAGAUGGUCACUUUCAUGCCUCGAGCGCCACAUAAGUAACUCAUCUUACAGGGUGACAAGUGCUGGGAGGGAGAGGCCCUGAGAGAGGGUCACCGAGCAGGCGAGUCCUUCCCUCCCUUUACUGCACCUGUCAGCCACCCACACCUGCCCUGCCAGGUCACAGC
ensembl:lncRNA